ACGCACGCUGGCGGCGUGCUUCACACAUGCAAGUCGCACGGAAAGGCCCUGCUUUUGUGGGGUGCUCGAGUGGCGAACGGGUGAGUAACACGUGAGUAACCUGCCCUUGACUUUGGGAUAACUUCAGGAAACUGGGGCUAAUACCGGAUAGGAGCUCCUGCUGCAUGGUGGGGGUUGGAAAGUUUCGGCGGUUGGGGAUGGACUCGCGGCUUAUCAGCUUGUUGGUGGGGUAGUGGCUUACCAAGGCUUUGACGGGUAGCCGACCUGAGAGGGUGACCGGCCACAUUGGGACUGAGAUACGGCCCAGACUCCUACGGGAGGCAGCAGUGGGGAAUAUUGCACAAUGGGCGGAAGCCUGAUGCAGCAACGCCGCGUGCGGGAUGACGGCCUUCGGGUUGUAAACCGCUUUCGCCUGUGACGAAGCGUGAGUGACGGUAAUGGGUAAAGAAGCACCGGCUAACUACGUG
rnacentral:rRNA from 1 species